UGGAAGUAAAAAUCGUAACAAGGUUUCCGUAGGUGAACCUGCGGAA
rnacentral:rRNA from 1 species